CUAUAAGACGAGAAGACCCCAUGGAGCUUUAAGCUAGCUUCACAUCUAUCUUGUAUGCCCUCUAAUUAAAAGAACACUGCCUGCUCAGCUUUAGGUUGGGGUGACCGCGGAAUAUAACACAACUUCCACGAUGUAUAACGAUUUUCUUAUCUAAGAACUACUAUUCUAAGAAUUAGUAUUCUAACAUACAAUGAUCCGAUAAUCGAUCAACGGACUAAGUUACCCUGGGGAUAACAGCGCAAUCCAUUUCAAGAGCCCCUAUCGA
rnacentral:rRNA from 1 species